rnacentral:rRNA from 1 species
UACGGAGUGUGCAAGCGUUAAUCGGAAUUACUGGGCGUAAAGCGUGCGCAGGCGGUUUGUUAAGUCCGCUGUGAAAUCCCCGAGCUCAACUUGGGAAUUGCAGUGGAUACUGGCAAGCUGGAGUAUGGUAGAGGAAGGUGGAAUUCCCGGUGUAGCAGUGAAAUGCGUAGAGAUCGGGAGGAACACCAGUGGCGAAGGCGGCCUUCUGGACCAAUACUGACGCUCAUGCACGAAAGCGUGGGGAGCAAACAGG